rnacentral:rRNA from 1 species
CCUACGGGAGGCAGCAGUGAGGAAUAUUGGUCAAUGGGCGCGAGCCUGAACCAGCCAAGUCGCGUGAGGGAGGACGGCCCUACGGGUUGUAAACCUCUUUUGCCGGGGAGCAACGGGCGUCACGUGUGGCGCCCCUUCUAGUACCCUUAGCAAAAGCAUCGGCUAACUCCGUGCCAGCAGCAGCGGUAAUACGGAGGAUGCGAGCGUUAUCCGGAUUUAUUGGGUUUAAAGGGAGCGUAGGUGGAUUGUUAAGUCAGUUGUGAAAGUUUGCGGCUCAACCGUAAAAUUGCAGUUGAAACUGGCAGUCUGGAGUACAGUAGAGGUGGGCGGAAUUCGUGGUGUAGCGGUGAAAUGCUUAGAUAUCACGAAGAACUCCGAUUGCGAAGGCAGUUCACUGGACUGCAACUGACACUGAGGCUCGAAAGUGUGGGUAUCAAACAGGAUUAGAUACCCCUGUAGUC